AACUUUUGAUCACCGAAGUGGAAGCAAAACAAGACAUACUUUUUGGAGCCCRCAGCAAUGGCUUGACAAAUAAGAGAAAAAAUUAUGCUUGGGAGCAGGGAUAGAAGUGCAACAGGAGGAGUGCAGAGUGACUCUUCACUGUCUACUAUGGACCAGCGCAUUGGCAGCAUAAUUGGAGAGACCUCAGUGUGGCAUCAUUUGAUGGUGAUACUGAGGACCCUCUCCCAGACCCUGAAGGAAAACCAGACACACCAACUGAUGAUGUGGGUGAUUUGCCUGAACCCCUUAGCCAUCCCCAGGCCUACAUGAAGGGUGUCUGCUUUGGCGAGCGCUUCAGCUGAAACAACAGGUCCUGAAACAACAAGAGAUCAACACAUCAAUUAUUGGACUCAAACAGCACAUGGAGGAUGUAUGCAACGGCCUGAGAGAGAGAAAUCAACCAUUGAAAUAACUUGUUGAUUGUGUCAAACAUGUGAGACAAAUUCUGGCGCAAUAUAAACGUGUUUUCCUUGUCGAUUUGAUUACAAUAUUUGUAAGAACAGAUACCUAAAACCGUUGCAUGAUGUUGACUCUUGUCUUCAGUUCCAGAGCUAUGGGUGGUGGGAAACACUCCGUCAGGCAUGGGCUCAUCGGGUCUGGGUGGAUCAUUCAGUGGAAUGUCAUUUUUGAUUGUAAUGUUGUGGAGCACACUGCAAGCCUUGACAAUGUAGCAAACCUCAAAAGGAUUUUGCACAUUGUAUUACAUUCACGUAAUGGCAUUUGAAGAUGUAAUUUCAUAGGCAAGCCUUGCUAGGCUGGUAUUGCAGUAUGCCUCCUGUCCCAGACAAGCACAGCCAACGCCC